CCAAGAUUAGGGAUUUUGUUUUUUUGCCUCCUUCGUUACUCCCUUGCCCGCUUCAGUUCACAUGGUUUCCGAGCGUCCCUUUAAGCGUCGAAGGACCGGAGCGAGGAGAAGGCGACCGAGGGGGGUGGUCCGAGGACGGAUUCAUCGCCUCUCGUGUUGUCGCUGGGGCACCUUCCACUUCCGAAUGGAUGGGUUUUUAUAAGGGGUUUCUUUCUGGGAAAGAGGGUUCUCUUGGUUUUUGACUGCAAGCAUGAAUUCCGUAUUUCGGACUAAUUGUGUUGGACUUUGAGGCGUCUAAAGACUGGGAAUCUGUGGCAUGUGAGGCUGAAAAAGUUUACCUUAUUUUUCUGAAUUGGGUAUCAGGAUUCUGAGAUGGUGCUAAUCGUGGUAUUCAGAUUGACAUGCUUCUUGAUCGCAUUUCCAUCAAGCUAGAGUCUAAAUUCAGUGAUAUGAAGAUUGUAGGUCAUGCAUCCGGGCUAUAUAUUUGGUUGGAGAUUGGGGAAAAUUGAUCUCCAAACUUGUCGUCUGGGUCUGGGGGAGCUAGGGUUAUUUUGAAUGCUUCCACUUAUCUUGAUGGUGGGCAAAGUUGAGAUCACUGCUUUGGUGGUUCUAUGGAAUGCAAAUUCUGCACUUCAGUGUAAGUUAGUCUAGCCAUCUAACUGAAAAUGUGCACUUCCAGCCAAUUCACACUUUACACUCUUCAUUUUUUAUGAAUUAAAUAUGCCCUAAGUGACAUUUAACCUCCGUUGGUGAGAUAAAUGGAUUUGCGUGCAAUUUCUUUAUCCCUUUUCGCAAAUCAAAGUUAUACUUUAACCCUCUUUGGAUGAGCUGCCUCCAUUCUUAGCAACUAGUUCCUGGGGUAUCCUUUAAGGUUCGAGAUAGGUACCAUGUGAUAACCAUUGGCCGUUGUAUUGUCAAAUAUUAAUAACUAACAUGGCAGGUUCUCUUACAAAUAUUUUAAACUGCUACAUAUUUACAAUGCUAUAGGUUAUUAUUUUCAGACAUAAAUGGCUUUCUUUGUUUUGCAUAAAAUUGUCUCCUCCCAUUUGUGUAGAAAACCAUAAUAGUGAACCAUAUGCAAGUUCAUUUUAAUGCUUUCCAUGUACGAGUGCAUUCUUCAAGUCUACCUGAAGUAGAGCCCAUCCUCUAUUGAUCAUGACAUUGAGGGUAACCACAAGGAUGGGAAAUGAUUUAUGUCCGUACUUUGAAGCAUUCAAAUCUGUGAUUACGGAUACCUUGAUAGGGACCUUAUGUAAAUAUUAGGAAGAUUUUGCCAUAGUAAGAUCUUCAGAAGAUUGCUUGCAUCUCUGAACUUGAUUUCUGUACUGGGAUAUAUUGUUACAUUUGUAAGCUUUGGUUUCAUUGGCACGCACAUUAUGAUCUUCAGAACUAGUGAGACAUAGGUCAGUUUACUUUUCUGACCAUAUCUCACUGAUUAUGUUAAUGAAUAAUGGCUUUCUUUUGUUACAAGGCCUCCCUUUUUGGAGCACUCUUAAAUACAAGCAUGACGAUUAAGGAUUAUAUAUUCCAUAGGAAAUCUCUUUGUUAUAGAUGUGAAUGGAAAAUGUGUUCUUCUAGAACUAUCCUGUUUGAAGGCAUAUGCUGGUUAUAUUUUUAUGCCUGGUUUGUAAGCUAUAUAAUGCUUCUCUAAACUGGAAAAGGUUUCUGCACCUUUGCAAAUGGAAGGAAAUGCUAGGUUAAGCAUUGGAUGUUGUCCAAGUAGUCACCUUUGACUAUCCAUUGAGUUGAAUUAUAGCAGAAUUAUUUGUUGUUCAUUGUAGCACUGCAGACUUGUAUUUUGGAUAAUGAGUUAAACUGCUAAUUGGUUAGUUAACUCUUAACUCUUAAAACUUUUUUCUUUUGGAUCAAUGAUUUUUUUUUUUGGUUUGAAGUGGGGGGGGGGUGCGAAGAUUUAUUUUCUUGAUUGAUUUGAUGAAUAAAUAAUGACUGCUCCUACAGAACUUUAGUCACAGCAAGAUAAUCAAUUGGUUAACAAAUAGGCACUACGGAUUUUCUGAAGACAGGUUCUUUAAAAAUAUUUGGUAAUGCUUUCAACUAAAAAAAUAUAGGGACCUUGAUAGGAGGGAAUGAUCACAUAUGAUUGGCAAUGCCAACAUAAGAUUAGACAGGGCUUUUUAGCUGUUCAUGGCACAUUGCAUGCUAAAUAUCUCUGGUGGAAGAUGCAAACCUGCCCCUAAAGCAGAAAAGUUAGUUGAUCAUCACUUGGGUGUUGUAAAGGAUGCUGUCGCAAGAUAUCCAGGGCAUCUUCUGAUUCUGGUGGGCAAAUCAAUGGGUUGAAGGUAAUAUUUGCCCAUAAUAAACUUGUUUGUUGCUCUAAAUUUCCCAGAACCAUUUUCUUCUUAAGUUCUUUUCUAUUUGAAAGCUUUGUGAAGCUUCAUGCUUAUUUAUGUUUUUGUGCAGAGUCAAUUGCACGGUGGCUUGUCCAGAAGAUAUCAAUGUUUCAGAAGUCGUAUGUUUGGGACUUUGCUUUUCACUUAGAAUCAGGAAGAGUAAUCUCCAAAACUGCCAGAUAACAUAAGGCAUUAAUGUGGCAAUAUGUGAUGAGAAUUUGUUGCACAAAGGACUCCAACGAUUUUUGUACAGGGUAGUAAAGCUGAUUUGUGUCCCCUGGAUAAGCUUGCAACCACCUACAAGAAGAUGAAAUGCAUCAAUGAGUUGCAUGUGAUUGAUGGCAGUGAUCACUGUUGCAAGAUUGGAGAGAAGUACCGAGAAUCCACUGAAUUGGACCAGGAAGAAGCUCGAAGAAGAGCUGCCACGGCAACUGCAGAGUUUGUCACUAAAUGUACCCAGGAAAGGUGAUUAUUGUUACAUCUCUAAACUAUAGCUAAUAAACCUAGUACCCUGUGUUUUGGUCCUUUUCCUUCUUUAGGCAUUAGAGUCCUGUUGCAAGUUACAAUACCCAGUACAACCAAAGUAUAGCCUAUAAUUUGUGAAAUUGUUAUUAAAACGGCCAUUUCCAGUUCUGUGAAGCUGGGUGUCAAAGAUUGGACAUCGUAUAUGAAGUUUUGGAUCAGGGUAAGGAUAAUGCUUUAUGUUGACAUGUACCAACACCUUAUCCAUGGAAUGCAUGAUACGUCAUCAAUCAUAGGCGCAUAGCCAACAAAAAGUGUCGGUCUUCACCAUUUAAGAUAAAAAGAGAUCUAGUGUUUAUCAAUCGCACUGGCCUUACCUUGUGUUCAGUCCUGUGCUGCAUUUUUCUUGUUAUGAAGAAAAAAGUUCCUUUUUUUUUUCAGAGUUUCUGCGUGUUCAUCUGAGAGGAUCUGAGGAUUUGUUUUUUCCCCUUAUCUUUGGACUGGAGUACAGUUGGUCAUUUUUCCAAGAACCUUAUAGGGGCUGCUCUUGGCAUGUUGGUGUUCAAGGCGGGAUAUGUCUUGUGUUGAUUGGGAUGGACUUGGCUUUUCUUUUUUAUUUUGUAUGCUAUAUUCCAGGAAUUAAACAUAUAAUCGUCAAGCUUCAUAAAUGGACAUAAAAUUUCACCAUAGCAAAGUUGCAUAGGUAUUACCUGCCAUUUAAAUACGACAUCUUAGGAGCUAGCCUAAUGAAUUAGCCCGCUGCUCGGUGGUCAUCAAAUUAAGCAGUCUAGAUUACACAGAGAUAAAAAAAACUUCAUUCAAACUCUACAUUGCAACUACCGUCAGUGUCUCAAAGCAGAAUAUCUCAAUUCAUCAAAGCCAGAUACUCUCAUUGAAUCUCUUAAAAUGAAACAGGAGAGAAAACAAGGUGAGGGGGGGGCGGGGGG